rnacentral:misc_RNA from 1 species
AUAGCAAGGCAAUGCAAGCUUUUAGGUAUAGAUUUUGCAGCAAUCAAACUCGAGAAAGCCCCUUGCUUUUUCGCUUUAGUUAAUUGCUCAUUAACGGCAAAAAUUGUAUCCUUCAACUUCUGAAUUUUCAGCUGAUUGUCAAAACUUUCUUUUGCCUCGGCAAUUACUUGGCGAGUGACUUUGAUUCGCUCUUUCACUUCCUUCUCGAAUUGGCGUAGCGUGGAUUCUUCAAUAGAAANGCGAAUCCAACUCGAACAGAGCCCGAUACGCAGGCUUGUUAAGAAGAUCGGUAUAGUUUCGCGAGAGAUCAGCAAAAACCCUAACAACCUUUGAGUUCUCGAGCUUGAGCUUCCGUGCAUAGGAUGCAUAUGCGAGAGCGAGAGAUCGGUGGUCGUCGGCUUGUUUUCGGAUAUGGUCCAAACGGGGCUUCAGUGGAUCCGAUUUCAUUGCGAGUACGGAUCUUCUCCCGGAUCCAAAUCUAUAAGGUACGUUGCUGAAGCCAAAGUGGUGGAGGUCAGAGGAAGAGUGAGAGUGUGAAGUGAACAGAAAAGAGACAGCGAAGAAGAGAAACACCGCAAUCGUAACCGCGGAGGCCAAUAGUCUNAAACUCCGUAUCAAUCCACUUCGCGAGUUUCGAUGAUUCGCCAUUGUUACCGUUUGAUUGAUUUGAUUAGCGAUAGAGGAGAAGAGGAUAGAAAGGUCACACAGCG